UACGUAUGGUGCAAGCGUUCUCCGGAUUUACUGGGUGUAAAGGGUGCGUAGGUGGUAGAGCAAGUCAGAAGUGAAAACUAUGGGCUCAACCCAUAGACUGCUUCUGAUACUGUUCAACUAGAGUGCAGGAGAGGAAAGUGGAAUUCCUAGUGUAGCGGUGAAAUGCGUAGAUAUUAGGAGGAACACCAGUGGCGAAGGCGGCUUUCUGGACUGCAACUGACACUGAGGCACGAAAGCGUGGGGAG
rnacentral:rRNA from 1 species